CCAUGGGAUCAACGUCUAACGGACAGAAGAGAAGAAAUAACUCACGCAAUUCUCACUUAUCGGCAAUCGCGCUACCAACCACUGAUCUCUCAUCAGCACACACACACAUAUGCGCGACAGAGAAGCGAACGACAUCACCAUCCCACGCGCAGUGCCAGCCAGACCGCAGAGCGGACUGCACACAAACCCAGUGCGACAAAACUAAGUCCGCGUUAGAAGUGCACAGUUUGGUGAAAUUAGAGGCAACGGAUUUGGCCUGAUUUCAAUUAAGAAACAUUCGUGAACCUCGUCGUGUUACAGCACUGACAAUACGUUUGCACGGCUGCUCUGGCGGCAUAAUUAAAUCUGGAGAUAAGGAAGAUCCCAGCACGUAAAACGCUCGCCCGAGACCGUCGUACAGGGAACGUCGUGGAAAGCGAAACACCCUCUCGAAGCGGGCUAUCGCAGCAAAUCAGCAAGGUGAGGUGAAAUUGAGAUUUGUGGGUACAGUAAUCGCAAUUUGUGCAUCAUUCCACAGCAUCUCUGCUUUUCGGUAACGGUGGAGAAGUGAAUCGCCCAGAAAGAUCGUUCAACCGGACAAUAGAAGACCCCGCUAAGGGGUCUUUUUGUUUUAUACAUUCUCGCUUCUCAUUACCGUACCGUGAACGGGUGUUGCUUUGAGGCGCAAGCCUGCCGUGGUGCGUGGAUUGGUGAGUCAAAAACAACAACCGAUUAUCAGCGUGUGUUCGUGGUGUCAGAACGAUUGUGAGCGGUGAUCCGCGUUGGGACGGACGGACGGCAUAGCAUCGCAGUGAAAGCCGAUGGACACCAAGAAGUGAGACAUCGGAAGUGUGGUGUUUGCCUCGAUGCGGCUAUCGAGUGAUCGUCGGUGGGUGGUCACUGCGUCCAGAGUCUGCCUGGUGGCGGAACCAAACAACAUGAACGGCUCAGUGGCAAGCGGUGUGUCGUUGGCUCCGCGGAGCGGUACCGUGAGUACCUACUAUUAGUUUAAGAAAACGAUUGUAUGGGCCUCGAGCCAUAGAGUAGAGGAUAGGUCUUGA